rnacentral:rRNA from 1 species
GUCCAGACUCCUACGGGAGGCAGCAGUGGGGAAUAUUGCACAAUGGGGGAAACCCUGAUGCAGCGACGCCGCGUGAGUGAAGAAGUAUUUCGGUAUGUAAAGCUCUAUCAGCAGGAAAGAAAAUGACGGUACCUGACUAAGAAGCCCCGGCUAACUACGUGCCAGCAGCCGCGGUAAUACGUAGGGGGCAAGCGUUAUCCGGAUUUACUGGGUGUAAAGGGAGCGUAGACGGUGAAGCAAGUCUGAAGUGAAAGGCGGGGGCUCAACCCCCGGACUGCUUUGGAAACUGUUUGACUGGAGUGCAGGAGAGGUAAGUGGAAUUCCUAGUGUAGCGGUGAAAUGCGUAGAUAUUAGGAGGAACACCAGUGGCGAAGGCGGCUUACUGGACGGCAACUGACGCUGAGGCUCGAAAGCGUGGGGAGCAAACAGGAUUAGAUACCCCUGUACA